ensembl:lncRNA
GGAAAUUAUUUGUCAGUUUCUAUAUAUUUGCACGUCUUAUAUUGUUCCUAACCAGAACAUUUAUAAUAGCAAGGCAAUAAUUUCACUAGUCCUGCACAGAAGGAUUAUUACUUCUCUGUGUGUGUGUGUGUGUGUGUGUGUGUGUGUGCAUGCGUGCGUGCACGUGUUUACCAUGGCAACUGUCUCCCCAAUCCGGCUGCAUCAUCGCUGGCAAGUGACCACUAGCAAGAGCUGGAAAAAACAAAGCAGAGAGCUCAUUCAGGCAUACGCGACAGGGGAUCUUCUGGAAAAUACAGAGGCGGGCAAUCGCAGACGUUUAUCAAGUUACAGUAACAUUUGAGGUGUACUUCAUAGCACCGAUUCUAUCAAGCAAUCAACUCCUAUUACGUGACGAGUCCAGCCUCACAUGUGACAUCAAUUAGUGAGCACUCGUCGGGCAUAUUUUUAGCAACGAGAGACGGUGACCGCUUCAGAAUAUUAACUGCCGUAAAAUGAUACUGAAUGGCGGCGUUUAACCAUAACACAGUUUCAAGCUGCAGACCGACAGUCGAUAGUCACUCUGCGUGUGCGUGCAUGUGUGUGUGUGCGGUAUAGAGUGAGCCAGCUUCAGCUAUGCUAGCCACUGCGUUGGUCUUUGCUGGAGCCGGGCCAAUGUCAUUUCACAGCACUAAGCCUUGUAAAAUAAGAUGGGGGACAUCAGACCCCGACCAGCUCAAACGAAUGGGAUGUCACUUCUGCUUAGAACCACAAGCCUUGUCCUCUACACCGGUGACUGACUGCACUAAUGGUCUGCAUGAUUUCGUCAGCGACGGUGUCAAGUCAACCUGGCGCGCCGCGGCGGCUGGGAGCGAGCCAGUGGCACCACACCACCUGCUCCACCUCACUCCCCCCCUCUCCCUCUGCACCUCUGAGUGCAAUCUGCCCACCUGCUACCAUGGUAAGCAGACACACCCUGCCCACCGUCCCUCCCUUCCCGCCUGCAGCUAUAGUGGAGCUAGUCUGCACAGGAGCACAGAGGCAGACUGAGCUCCAGCAUGCCUGGCCACCAUACCAGACGAGGGAGGGAGCUGCGUUGCUGUGGGCCUUUUGUUUAGCCGCCACCACUAAAAACUCCCCGCCAGGUCGUGUUUGCUCCUCUUCUGUUUUUUCUUCUUCGUUCACCUGUCGUCACACUGCUCUCUUUCAUCUGUAGGGCGUUUCCUAAAGAUCCUCCCUCAAGGCAGUGAAAACAUUAUCUCAGUGGAGUAAAAGCGAGAGGUAAAGUGACAGAGACAGUUUAAAUUGCCUUGCUUUCAAAAACAACCCAAGGACUAUUUGGCUUCUUUUGUGGGGCACAGUAGAGUUUUCAGGUUGGAUCAAGAUGAAUAGAAGGGGGAUGCAAGUGAGGGGCCGUGGCUCCCUACUGAAGAGGACCCCUGUGUUUGUUGUUGGUGUGGUUGUUUUGUUCAUAAUACUGUGUGUUUAUCUAGAGCUGAUGCUGACGUUUCCUUGGUGACUGAUAUUAGACUGUUGUGCUGUUUCAUCAGAAAAUGAAUAAAUGUCUGAAGCUCUUUGCCAAGUUCUUCUGUGUUUGUGUUUUAUGUGUAUUUAUUUCAUGCAUAUACAAGUUUCAAACUGCACUGAUAUUGGGCCUUAA